GUCCUGGCUGCGGCCAUGGAUGCUGCGCUCUCGCGAGAGCUGCGCAGCCUCACGCGGACAGGGAGCGCAUGCGCCACUUGCCGAUGGACGCCGCUGGGGCACCCCGGAUUCUGGUGGACUUUCUAGAAAAAUAGUCAGUGAAGAAGGAAGCUUUGCAUAUUUACUCCUGUUGAGAAGAACCUAAUCCCAGAUACCUUCAUCUACCAUCCUGAACAAAUAAAGCCAGUUACCAUGUGUAGAUAUUACACAUAGUAUAGGUGAUUACUACAUAUGCUGAAACCCACAAAGCCUACAGCAAUGCAAUUCAUUAAAAAGGCUGGAUACAUUUUUGAAGGUGUUCACAUAGAAGCCAAUUCGUCUACGAAAGAUGGCACAAAGAAACGAAAAAGAGAAUAAAAGUCAACAAAGUUGAGACUACUUCACAUCAGAUGUCUUCAGCGUUUUUUAAAGAAGAGUGGAAAAGGAUGGUCUCAACUACAGCACAAGCACAGGGAAGGCAAGAUGCUCUGGGCUUCCAUCUCCUGCCAGACAGCACACAACCAUUUCUUGAAAGCAGAAAGGUACCAUUCCAGGAGCCCCUGUGCCCAAAUCUUAUCACAACAUCAAGGUGAUGCAGUUGCAUCUUCGGUCAGCUUUAAUGUAUACAGCUCAGUACAGCCCAAGUGUGGGUGUCCCAAGCUCAGCUUUGAAACACAUGCACAUGUAUAUAAAAGAAAAUAAUUUAAUAUAGACUAGACGUUUCUGUGCAUUUAGUCAAGAAUGUGCUUACUUGAGGUGAAUUAUUGCAUACUUAUUCAUUUCAAAAGUAGAAGCUGUUUUCUUAGGUUUUGUUUUAUUCUUUUUCCUAUUUAAAACUUCCAUGUAUAAUUUCUCCCAAAUUUGAAUAAGCCUGCAAAAUGUCAACUCAAUAAUUAAUUUUCUUCCUGAAGAAUUUUAAUAAUUAAAAUAAAUGACUCUGAAAGCAAUUGCUUAGUAAAUUAUGUGUAUUGCUCAAAUUAAAUUCUACCUCUCCCUGAGACUAGCUACUGCUUUUUAUACAAAAUUUACUGAAGUAAAAGGGCCCUCACUCUAAGUCAUUCAUAUGCAGUUUUACUUUUAGUAGGCCCAUAAAACAAAUAUCCCUAAGUGCUAAGAAGGUUUACACUGAAAUAGGCAGAAACACAGCUGGGAAAUCCUCUGUUGGUCUGAAAUCUAACAGGAUUAAAUUUAGAAGGCAGGGAAGACAAACGAUACUUCACAUUUUCAUUCCAGAUUGUCAAUUGUUAAAGAACAUAACACACUAAUGAAAUGCUUAAUUUUCUACUGCUUUUGUUCUCCCAUC